rnacentral:rRNA from 1 species
GAUGAACGCUGGCGGCGUGCCUAAUACAUGCAAGUCGAGCGAACGGACGAGAAGCUUGCUUCUCUGAUGUUAGCGGCGGACGGGUGAGUAACACGUGGAUAACCUACCUAUAAGACUGGGAUAACUUCGGGAAACCGUAGCUAAUACCGGAUAAUAUUUUGAACCGCAUGGUUCAAAAGUGAAAGACGGUCUUGCUGUCACUUAUAGAUGGAUCCGCGCUGCAUUAGCUAGUUGGUAAGGUAACGGCUUACCAAGGCAACGAUGCAUAGCCGACCUGAGAGGGUGAUCGGCCACACUGGAACUGAGACACGGUCCAGACUCCGACGGGAGGCAGCAGUAGGGAAUCUUCCGCAGUGGGCGAAAGCCUGACGGAGCAACGCCGCGUGAGUGAUGAAGGUCUUCGGAUCGUAAAACUCUGUUAUUAGGGAAGAACAUAUGUGUAAGUAACUGUGCACAUCUUGACGGUACCUAAUCAGAAAGCCACGGCUAACUACGU